rnacentral:rRNA from 1 species
UGGGGAAUCUUGGACAAUGGGGGCAACCCUGAUCCAGCCAUGCCGCGUGAGUGAUGAAGGCCUUAGGGUCGUAAAGCUCUUUCGCCUGUGAAGAUAAUGACGGUAGCAGGUAAAGAAACCCCGGCUAACUCCGUGCCAGCAGCCGCGGUAAUACGGAGGGGGUUAGCGUUGUUCGGAAUUACUGGGCGUAAAGCGCACGUAGGCGGACCAGAAAGUUGGGGGUGAAAUCCCGGGGGCUCAACCCCGGAACUGCCUCCAAAACUAUUGGUCUAGAGUUCGAGAGAGGUGAGUGGAAUUCCAAGUGUAGAGGUGAAAUUCGUAGAUAUUCGGAGGAACACCAGUGGCGAAGGCGGCUCACUGGCUCGAUACUGACGCUGAGGUGCGAAAGUGUGGGGAGCAAACAGGAUUAGAUACCCUGGUAGUCCACACCGUAAACGAUGAAUGCCAGUCGUCGGGUAGCAUGCUAUUCGGUGACACACCUAACGGAUUAAGCAUUCCGCCUGGGGAGUACGGUCGCAGAUUAAAACUCAAAUGAAUUGAC